AUUCUCCCCUGCAAGCUGCAAUCUUCAAGCUUGUUUGCACUAUAAGGAACUCUGCCAUGGGAUACUGUGAAAUAUUCCAUGCAGCACUGUUGGGAAAAAAGGCUUUUGUUCAUCUGACUCUACACCAUCUACAGAGCUGCAGGUGACAACUGAAAAGGGAGAUUUUCCACAUUAACUGGAUUUACAAGUAAAAUGGUAUAAAUGUAUAAAGGAGUGACAGCUGAUUCACAAGGUUUUAAAAGCAUGUCAAAAGGGAGAAAACAUUCGAGGUCCACCUACAUUUUAAAGGUAAAAUUUCAUAUGGAGAGAAAGAAACACAACCAAAAUCCCAAGAGAACAGCAGAGGAAAUCUUGCACCAGAUUAAUUCUGGAAAACCAACCUUAACCAGAUUGCCUAUGAACUGCAGGAUUCCUUCUAAAUUACCACUGAAUCAUGUGGGCACAAAGAGGAAGAGCUGCCCUCUGGUUGUGAGGAAGGUCUGUGGUGGAAUUCUCAAGCAAAACCAGCACUACAAAUUGGCAAGGAGACACAACUCUCAGUGGAAAUACAAAAGCAGAAUCCUGAUGCUAAAAUUCUGG